GACGAACGCUGGCGGCGUGCUUAACACAUGCCAGUCGAACGGAAAGGCCCUGCUUUUGUGGGGUGCUCGAGUGGCGAACGGGUGAGUAACACGUGAGUAACCUGCCCUUGACUUUGGGAUAACUUCAGGAAACUGGGGCUAAUACCGGAUAGGAGCUCCUGCUGCAUGGUGGGGGUUGGAAAGUUUCGGCGGUUGGGGAUGGACUCGCGGCUUAUCAGCUUGUUGGUGGGGUAGUGGCUUACCAAGGCUUUGACGGGUAGCCGGCCUGAGAGGGUGACCGGCGACAUUGGGACUGAGCUACGGCCCAGACUCCUACGGGAGGCAGCAGUGGGGAAUAUUGCACAAUGGGCGGAAGCCUGAUGCAGCAACGCCGCGUGCGGGAUGACGGCCUUCGGGUUGUAAACCGCUUUCGCCUGUGACGAAGCGUGAGUGACGGUAAUGGGUAAAGAAGCACCGGCUAACUACGUG
rnacentral:rRNA from 1 species